CGUAGGAGAAAGCCAGUUCACAAACUUACAGCGAGGUUCGGUCCCUCGGGAUGCAGACAGACCACUCCGGACAAGGAGUGCAGGCUUGCGGCUUCCGUUCCCAGGCUGGGAGCUUGGAGGUGUGGGACACAACAAGUCCAGCUCCUGAUACUUCCUGUAAAUGACAAGACAGAAGAUGGGAAGAUGGAUAACUUGGGUCAGUAAAUAUGUAUCUGGACACAUGAGGACUUGGAAUCUGACCAUCCAUCCAUCCUUCCAUUUUCUACCGCUUAUUCCCUUUGGUGCCUAUCUCAGCUACAAUCGGGCGGAAGGUGGAGUACACCCUGGACAAGUCGCCACCUCAUCGCAGUACUGGCUGUCCAGAGUCGGGACCCAGGAUGGACCGCUCGCCUGUGUAUCGGUCGGGGACAUCUCUACGCUGCUGAUCCGCCUCCGCUUGAGAUGGUUUCCUGUGGACGGGACUCUCGCUUCUGUCUUGGAUCCGCUUGAGCUGAACUCUCGCGGCUGUGUUGGAUCCACUAUGGAUUGAACUUUCACAGUAUCAUGUUAGACCCGCUCGACAUCCAUUGCUUUCGGUCCCCUAGAGGGGGGGGGGGGUUGCCCACAUCUGAGGUCCUCUCCAAGGUUUCUCAUAGUCAGCAUUGUCACUGGCGUCCCACUGGAUGUGAAUUCUCCCUGCCCACUGGGUGUGAGUUUUCCUUGCCCUUUUGUGGGUUCUUCCGAGGAUGUUGUAGUCGUAAUGAUUUGUGCAGUCCUUUGAGACAUUUGUGAUUUGGGGCUAUAUAAAUAAACAUUGAUUGAUUGAUUGAUAGUUAAUAUAGUAAAUCACUCUUUCUUUAUUUUAGGUGUCCCAUUCAGUAAAAAAAUGUUGUCUGUCAUAACUUUUUGGGAAUUUUAUCAGACAUCGUGACUGUACAGCAGAUUUUUAACUGAUAAUAUAUCAUAUUGUAGGUGUUUAUUAAAUGGUAAAUGGGUUGUACAAACCCCGUUUCCAUAUAAGUUGGGAAAUUGUGUUAGAUGUAAAUAUAAACGGAAUACAAUGAUUUGAAAAUCUUUUUCAAGCCAUAUUCAGUUGAAUAUGCUACAAAGACAACAUACUCGAUGUUCAAACUCACAAACAUUUUUUUUUGUUGCAAAUAAUCAUAAUAAUCGUUAACUUUAUUUGAUGCCAGCAACACGUUACAAAGAAGUUACACGUUACAAGUUAUUGAGUGUUUUUAAAAGAGAAGGUGAUGUAACACAGUGGUGAACAUGCCCUUUCCCAACUACUUUGGCACGUGUUGCAGCCAUGAAAUUCUAAGGUAAUUAUUAUUUGAAAAAAAAUACAAGUGUUGAAAAUGAUUUG